AUGUGACCGCUGAGCAAAUGCAUCCCGAUCCCGAUCCCGAUCCCGAUCUACUCCCGUCCCCUGCUUCACUUCAGUCUGCGCUACGGCGACGACGGCAGAUCUCGUCGGCGCUAGCACCACCAGCGGCAGCGCCGAAGAUCUCGAUCUGUUGUCACGAGGUGAGAUCGCCGUCUUCCCGUCAACUUACAACCACAUCCGGCGUCGGCAAAGCGUGCUAUUUCCUCCGGCUUGAUCUGAUGACAGACAUCGAUAAGCGAUUUCCUCCGGUUGGAUCUGGCAUCGACAAGCGUGCUGUUUCCUCCGGCUUGAUCUGGCAUCGAUCUGGAAUCGCAUCUACUCUUUGACCUUCCCCGCUCCAGAUUUAUCCACCGCAUCGACCCGGGCUCUCCCUCCGAGCACCUCCCGACUGCAAGAACUGAAUCUAUUCUUCAGUAGUUUAUAACGGGGCGUUAUUGCAAAGGAUACUGCUAAUUGGAGCUGGAGAGUUGCUAUCCAGGAGCUUGUUUUACUCUCCACAUGUUCCAUCGACUGCAAAGGGCAUUGCAAGUUGGAGAUGAGCAUCCUGAAUGAAGAACAACUGAUUGAUGAGGUCAAGAAGUCAAAUGAAGAAUAAUUGAAGAGGAUCUCAAUUAUUGACAUUGGCGGGUUGUGCAAGACAACCUUCGUCAAAACGGUUUAUAACAAGUCAAAGCCUGUUUGAUUGUUUCUUUUGUCCAUGUUGGUCAAAAUCCUGAUUUGAAGAAAAUUUUGAAACACAUUCUUUAUGGCUUUGAUAAACGCAAAAUUUUGAACAUAUAUUGCAAAAGAUAAAGGAUACUCAUUGACCAACUCAGAGUUUCUAAUGGACAAAAGGUACGUGCACAUAGUAAACGUCUAUUUUAUUUAGAAGUGAAUCAAAUGGCUAUGAAAUGUCUUUUCUUAAUCUCUUAAGCACAUUACUUUUUUUUAAUGAUGACAUAGUUCAUAAAAUGGAUCUCUUUCAAAUAAGACUACUAAAUAAUUUUCUGUAAAAGCAUAUAUAUUAAAGCGAGCAAUAUCGAGAGCUAUUUUGAGCAAUGUGAUUGUGUACCAUAGCCAUCAUUACUAUAACUAGUAUUUUAUUUAGUUAGUAAUAACCAAAUUGAGCAAGAAAAGAUUAGUUCCAUUUGCUCAAUUUUAUGUGUCGUGGGGGUUAAAAAAGAUUCUAUUUUGAAGGAAAUGAAGGGUAUAUUGUUGCUCAACUGUUAUGAUUUGCUUCUCGUCUGAAGACUAGUUUAUUAUAUAUAAUCAUAUUUUCGAAAGAUUGAGAGAUUGAGAGAGAUUGCAAGCUGAUACCCAGUGCAAGGGAACAUCAUUGAUACAACUAUAAUAAUUCUUCCACUUCACGAGUCAUUGGACAACUGGGAAAUAUGUUUAGAUAUAAUAAGCAUGUCUUCAGAUGAGAAGGCAGAUCAUAAUAGCUGAGCAGUAAUAUCCUUCUUUUUUUAAAUAGCGUCUUUUGUAACCCCACAGCCCACUGAAUUGAGCAAGUGCAACAAAUCAUUCUUUGCUCCAUCUGAUUAUUACUAACCAAAAUACUAGCUAUAGUAAUGAUGGCUAAUGGUACACCACCACAUUUCUUGAAAAUAGCUCUUGACACUCCUGCAUUUGUUAGGUUCACAUUUGUUCUUGCUCAUAAAUGUUUUUAUAUAGACAAUUAUUAGGGAGUCUUAUUUAAAAUAUCUUCCAUUUUAUGACAUGUGUCAUCAUAGGUAAGAGUGCCAUUAUCCAAAGACACUGAUUUUGUGUGUUUUUAUGGUUUUUGACAAGCCAUACUUAAUACAUCUCCGCAUUUUUAUUAUUACAUGUCAUCAAUAAUGUUAAGAUUACAUGUCAUUAAUAAUGUUAUGUACCUAUGACAAUUUUUGAGGAUGUUAAUUGGCAAAUCAGUUUUAGAUACAACUAAAAGCGAACUAUAGGAAUUUAGAAAAUCAUGGUAAAAAUAAUUACCAAUAUCGUGCUAGCUUAGAAAAUAAAAGAAGGCAAAAAAAGGAUUUAAAAA